rnacentral:rRNA from 1 species
AUCGGAUCGCGUGGGCCAGUGGGCACUGGUAGUUUCCAGUGUUCCUUGAGCCAGCGAUGUUUCAUUCAAAUUUCUGAUCUAUCAAUUUAGGAAGGUUGGGUAGUGGCCAACCUUGAUUUUGACGGGCAACGGGGAAUUAGGGUUCGAUACCGGAGAGGGGGCCUGAGAGAUGGCCACCACAUCUACGGAUGGCAGCAGGCGCGCAACUUACCCAAAUCUCGACUCGAGGAGGUAGUGACAAGAAAUAUCGGCGCGGGGCUCUAUAUGAGUCUUGUAAAGCUGAAAUGAGGACAGUUUAAAACUCUUACCGAUAAGCAAUUAGAGGGCAAGUCUGGUGCCAGCAGCCGCGGUAAUACCAGCUCUAAUAGUGUAUGUUAAAGUUGUUGCAGUUAAAACGCUCGUAGUUGGAUGUUCGAGUGGAGGCUAUAGCGAGCGACCAGUCUAACUGGAGCGCGGCAUUAGCCGAAACUUGAGGGCGAUGUCAGAAGGGACAUGGCUAUGGUGACUGCAUGGGUGCUUACCGCUCUGGUCUCAUGGAGACUGGGGAUGAGUGACAUUUGUGUAGCGGAUAGUUAGUGAACUGGAGGGCGUCGUCCGACUCUUUCCCCUAUUUUAUUAAUUUGAAGUAGGGGACGUUUACUUUGAGCAAAGAUUAGUGUUCAAAGCAGGCCAACGGCUUGAGAUAUCUAGCAUGGGAUAAUGGAAUAAGACUUUGGUUUUAUUUUGUUGGUUUAUGGAGCCAGAGUAAUGGUUAAUAGGGACAGGUCGGGGGCGUUGAUAUUCAAUAGGGAGAGGUGAAAUUCAAUGAUCUAUUGAGGAUCCACUGGAGCGAAAGCGUUCGCCAAGGAUGUUUUCAUUGAUCAAGAACGAAAGUUAGGGGAUCGAAGACGAUUAGACACCGUCGUAGUCCUAACCGUAAACGAUCUCGACUAGGGAUUGGGAGAGUCAGUUCGUAUGAACGGAACUUUUUCAGGACCUACUGAGAAAUCAUUAAGUUUUUGGAGUCUGGGGGGAAGUAUAGUCGCAAGGCAGAAACUUAAAGGAAUUGACGGAAGAGCACCACAAGAAGUGGAUUCUGUGGCUCAAUUUGACCCAACGCGGGAAAACUUACCAGGACCGGACUAAAGUAGGAUUGACAGACUAACAGCUCUUUCAUGAUUUUUAGAUUGGUGGUGCAUGGCCGUUCUUAGUUGGUGAAGUGAUUUGUCUGUGUUAAUUCCGUGAACGAGCGAGACCUCAGCCUCUUAAUAGUGGCAUGGAAUUAUACCUGUGCGAAGCACGGGGUCCAUAGUCUAUUCUCAGAGGGACGAUUUACAUCUAGUAAAAGGAAGCUUGAGGCAAUAACAGGUCUGAGAUGCCCUUAGAUGUCCUGGGCUGCACACGUAAUACAAUGGUGC